UGGCAGCAGGAAUUCAGGGUCAGUCUGCUGGAUGCUCUCCGUCGUUCUCCGCCCGGCCCCACCCUGUCGCGUUGGCUGCCCUGAUGGAUGACGUCAGCAGGCUCACUUGUCCUCAGGGUUUGGUUCAGUCAGGGGAAGCUACCAGCAGAGACCGAAGGACAGGAAGAGACAGUCGGGGUGUCUAUUGCCAGCCCCCUUUCUGCAGGGCCUCAGGGCAAUUUGGACACAGAGACAGACAUAGAGGGAAGACAGCCAUCGACAAGCCAGGGAGAAGGACCUGGAACAGCUCCUGCCAUCACAGCCUCAGAAGGAACCAACCCCACUGACAUUUUGGUCUCAGGCUCCCAGAAGCUAGAGCUCUGAGGAUACAUUCCUGUUGCUGAAGCAGCCCACCUUCCUGCCUCCCACCAGUGCCUCCAACCCAUUGGCUGAACGCAGCUGGAGACCAGCUGUCACGGAACCUGGGAAAUCCAGCCCAUAGGAGUCAGUUCCCUCCUCCCUGCAACCUGCCCCCACCCCAACCUCAAUGCUGAGAAAUAAACCCAAGGCCAGAGCUUCCAUGGAAGGGGAGGAGAGAGGUCUUCCCGACUGCUGAGUGGAAAAUAGUCUAAAGAACAAGAAUGCCUUCUGAGAGCCUCGCUGGGGUGCUGCAGAGGCUGUCCGGGUAACCAGGAUGGCGGCCGUGGGUAAGCAGAUGGCCAAGGACAAGGGAAGUGGCCCAAGAAAGACGAAGCCUGGUAUUCACGGGAGAACCACGCAGGACAUGCACAAAGUUCUGGAGGCUGGGGAGUCCAAGAUCAAGGUGACAGCAGAUCCGGUGUCAUAGUGUGCAGACGGCCGUCUCGCAUCCUCACGUGGCAGGAAGCUGCCAUGUGUCUUCUUAUAAGAGCACCAGUCCCGGGCAGCCCAGGUGGCUCAGUGGUUUGGCGCUGCCUUCAGCCCAGGACCUGAUCCUGGGGACCCGGGGUCGAGUCCCACGUCAGGCUUCCUGCAUGGAGCCUGCUUCUCUCUCUGCCAGUGUCU